AUCGCUUCUCGGCCUUUUGGCUAAGAUCAAGUGUAGUAUCUGUUCUUAUCAGUUACAAGGCGAGAAGCAAUGCAGGAUGGCGGCGGCGUCGGCCAAUUUUCAUGAGAGAAAUACAUGGAUGCAAGGUACAAGAAUACUUUGAGAUUCGAGUUGAUG
ensembl:snRNA U2 U2 spliceosomal RNA